GACGAACGCUGGCGGCGUGCCUAAUACAUGCCAGUUGAGCGAUGAAGAUUGGUGCUUGCACCAAUUUGAAGAGCAGCGAACGGGUGAGUAACGCGUGGGGAAUCCGCCUUUGAGCGGGGGACAACAUUUGGAAACGAAUGCUAAUACCGCAUAACAACUUUAAACAUAAGUUUUAAGUUUGAAAGAUGCAAUUGCAUCACUCAAAGAUGAUCCCGCGUUGUAUUAGCUAGUUGGUGAGGUAAAGGCUCACCAAGGCGAUGAUACAUAGCCGACCUGAGAGGGUGAUCGGCCACAUUGGGACUGAGACACGGCCCAAACUCCUACGGGAGGCAGCAGUAGGGAAUCUUCGGCAAUGGACGAAAGUCUGACCGAGCAACGCCGCGUGAGUGAAGAAGGGUUUCGGAUCGUAAAACUCUGUUGGUAGAGAAGAACGUUGGUGAGAGUGGAAAGCUCAUCAAGUGACGGUAACUACCCAGAAAGGGACGGCUAACUACGUG
rnacentral:rRNA from 1 species